CUGAGAUAGGCACAGGCUCCCCGUGACCCGAGAAGUUCGGAUAAAGCGGUAGAAAAUGAAAUGAAUCUUCAUUUCCUGGCCAUUCUUUUGCUGGUCACUCUUUGAUGCCAUUAAACUUACAAAUUUAAAGUCUGGUCCUAUAUAUUGGCUCCUUAAGGGAAGACUUUAAACAUACACUGACAUGUCAGGGAGCUUCACUCUCUUACUGUUGAUAGUGGAUAUGUGAAACCACAGCAACAUGCUUUCUACAGAAAUUAUUAACAAAAACAAUCAUCAUUCCAUUUAUAACAGCCAUGUGGUAACCUAUUAAAGAUAAUCUAGUGUGAGGAAUGUGUCCAAUCAAGAAUACAGAUUUUACAACUUGUAUCACUUAGCUCCUGAUGAGUUAAAACACUUUGUCACAUUUCAUACUGACUUUGAAAGCUUUUAACAGAUGGAAGUUAUUCAGCAUGUCAAGAUCAAGAACAUGAAUGCCACUGAAACAGCUUUUUUUCUGAAAGGGCCUGAAAGGAAUGACACAUCUUUAAUGGUCACUACAUAGUUCAAAAGCAUUCUGGCAAACCACCACAUUUUCCUGCAGAGAUAAUCAUGCCAGUUGUAAAUUGAUCUCCAUGCAAAUAAAUAUUAAUGCUUCCAGAUAUGCACCUUUGCAGGCUGUUGCUUUCUCUACAUAUGCUUAUUAUUUGAAAAGGCCCUCACCUUCCAGAUAAUAAGCAAACAUUGGUUGAUGCUUUGUGGAAAGUGUCAGCAGAGAUUUGAGUAUCAUGAACUAUUUUUUAAAGUAACUUUAUCAUUACUUUACAAAUUGUAACAGACAAGGUGUUACCUGUUUCUUUUAGUGUGUUUUGUUAUUUUUAUGCUUGUUGAUUUCUUAGGGGUAGCCGCAAGCAGGGUUGUAGUUGGAGCAGCUUGGGGGCGCUAGUGCCUGAAGGUAACCAGCAUAAAAGCUGAGCUACCAUAGAAGCAAAUUUGUUUUGUAGAGGGAAGUCUCAUGGCUUCUACUCAAGCUACCUUUGUUGUCUAAAGUCCUUAUUGAGAACUCUGUGUUUCUGCUCAAUUCUAAAAAGGACUUUUCAUUACUUUUCUUUUCCUGGUCACUGGUGUCUCUUCAUGACGUUCAAUAAGAGAACAUGUAAAUACUGCUUGGAAGCCUUGAAGCCCAAUCAAGCUGGAAGACUACUACUCACUGUGGAUAAUGGGAUUUAAAACAUUGCAUCGCUCUCAAAUAACCUUGUGGAUUUCAAGCUCGUCUCAUCCCAUCUUCAUCAUCACUUAUCAGAAAAACUAGGCAUUCUAACGCUAAGUUUACUACUCAUUGACUCAUUUAAAAACAAAAAGCCAACACUGACUUUCAAGUCUUGGGCAACAUGUCUAUAAGCACUUGCAGAUAAAAAUUUUUAAAUUGUUGUAAAAUCUCA